AUUCCUAAAUAGUCUUUGACUAUUUAGAUAGUUGUUAGUGGCAGACGGGUGAGUAAUGCGUAGGAAUCUACCUAGUAGUAUGGAAUAGCCAUUAGAAAUGAUGGGUAAUACUGUAUAAUCCCUGCGGGGGAAAGAUUUAUCGCUAUUAGAUGAGCCUACGUUAGAUUAGCUAGUUGGUAAGGUAAUGGCUUACCAAGGCUAUGAUCUAUAGCUGGUCUGAGAGGACGAUCAGCCACACUGGAACUGAGAUACGGUCCAGACUCCUACGGGAGGCAGCAGUGGGGAAUAUUGGACAAUGGGCGAAAGCCUGAUCCAGCUAUGCCGCGUGAGUGAAGAAGGC
rnacentral:rRNA from 1 species